UACGAAGGUGGCAAGCGUUGUUCGGAAUUACUGGGCGUAAAGGGCUCGUAGGCGGCCAACUAAGUCACACGUGAAAUCCCCAGGCUUAACCUGGGAACUGCGUGUGAUACUGGAUGGCUUGAAUUCGGGAGAGGGAUGCAGAAUUCCAGGUGUAGCGGUGAAAUGCGUAGAUAUCCGGAGGAAUACCAGUGGCGAAGGCGGCACGCUGGGCCAUAACUGACGCUAAGACGCGAAAGCAUGGGUAGCGAACGGG
rnacentral:rRNA from 1 species